CAAAACCAAUACAAACAUAGGGAGAAAAUACAAAGAAACAUUUUAUUUUGUCCAGGUCUUGAUUAGUCCAAGUGAGUGUUGGGAAGGGUCUUUAUUAGUCCAGGUUAGUGUUGGGAAGGGUCUUGAUUAGUCCAGGUUAGUGUUGGGAAGAGUCUUGAUUAGUCCAAGUGAAUGUUGGAAAGGGUCUUGAUUAGUCCAGGUGAGUGUUGGGAAGAGUCUUGAUUAGUCCAGGUGAGCAUUGGGAAGGGUCUUGAUUAGUCCAG
ensembl:lncRNA